GAGUUUGAUCCUGGCUCAGGACGAACGCUGGCGGCGUGCCUAAUACAUGCAAGUCGAGCGGAUUUAUCCUUCGGGAUAAGUUAGCGGCGGACGGGUGAGUAACACGUAGGCAACCUGCCUAUAAGACUGGGAUAACUAUCGGAAACGAUAGCUAAGACCGGAUAACUGAUUUUCUCGCGUGAGAAAAUUAUGAAACACGGAGCAAUCUGUGGCUUAUAGAUGGGCCUGCGGCGCAUUAGCUAGUUGGUAGGGUAACGGCCUACCAAGGCGACGAUGCGUAGCCGACCUGAGAGGGUGAACGGCCACACUGGGACUGAGACACGGCCCAGACUCCUACGGGAGGCAGCAGUAGGGAAUCUUCCGCAAUGGACGCAAGUCUGACGGAGCAACGCCGCGUGAGUGAUGAAGGUUUUCGGAUCGUAAAGCUCUGUUGCCCUAGACGAACAGCAAGGAGAGUAACUGCUCUUUGUGUGACGGUAUAGGAGAAGAAAGCCCCGGCUAACUACGUGCCAGCAGCCGCGGUAAUACGUAGGGGGCAAGCGUUGUCCGGAAUUAUUGGGCGUAAAGCGCGCGCAGGCGGUCAAUUAAGUUGGGUGUUUAAGCCCGGGGCUCAACCCCGGUUCGCAUCCAAAACUGGUCGACUUGAGUGUAGGAGAGGAAAGUGGAAUUCCACGUGUAGCGGUGAAAUGCGUAGAGAUGUGGAGGAACACCAGUGGCGAAGGCGACUUUCUGGCCUAUAACUGACGCUGAGGCGCGAAAGCGUGGGGAGCAAACAGGAUUAGAUACCCUGGUAGUCCACGCCGUAAAC
rnacentral:rRNA from 1 species